UACGUAGGGUGCAAGCGUUGUCCGGAAUUAUUGGGCGUAAAGCGUGCGCAGGCGGUGGCUCAAGCCAGGCGUGAAAUCCCCGGGCUUAACCUGGGAAUGGCGUUUGGGACUGGGUCGCUAGAGUGUGGCAGAGGGAGGUGGAAUUCCACGUGUAGCAGUGAAAUGCGUAGAGAUGUGGAGGAACACCGAUGGCGAAGGCAGCCUCCUGGGCCAGCACUGACGCUCAUGCACGAAAGCGUGGGGAGCAAACAGG
rnacentral:rRNA from 1 species